rnacentral:rRNA from 2 species
GUGUGCGGUUUUGAAGAUCACCGGCGGACGGGCCGCGGGCACGUGGGCAAGCUGCCUGGAGACUGGGAUAACUUCGGGAAACCGGAGCUAAUACCGGAUAAUCCUUUCCCUCUCAUGAGGGAAAGCUGAAAGACGGUUUCGGCUGUCACUUACAGAUGGGCCCGCGGCGCAUUAGCUAGUUGGUGAGGUAACGGCUCACCAAGGCGACGAUGCGUAGCCGACCUGAGAGGGUGAUCGGCCACACUGGGACUGAGACACGGCCCAGACUCCUACGGGAGGCAGCAGUAGGGAAUCUUCCGCAAUGGACGAAAGUCUGACGGAGCAACGCCGCGUGAGCGAUGAAGGCCUUCGGGUCGUAAAGCUCUGUUGUCAGGGAAGAACAAGUAUCGGAGUAACUGCCGGUACCUUGACGGUACCUGACCAGAAAGCCACGGCUAACUACGUGCCAGCAGCCGCGGUAAUACGUAGGUGGCAAGCGUUGUCCGGAAUUAUUGGGCGUAAAGCGCGCGCAGGCGGUUCCUUAAGUCUGAUGUGAAAGCCCCCGGCUCAACCGGGGAGGGUCAUUGGAAACUGGGGAACUUGAGUGCAGAAGAGGAGAGCGGAAUUCCACGUGUAGCGGUGAAAUGCGUAGAGAUGUGGAGGAACACCAGUGGCGAAGGCGGCUCUCUGGUCUGUAACUGACGCUGAGGCGCGAAAGCGUGGGGAGCGAACAGGAUUAGA